UUGUGUUUAUCGUUCGUUUUUUUGUUUUGUUUUUGUUUUUGUUUUUCUU
rnacentral:ribozyme from 1 species